UACGUAGGGUGCGAGCGUUAAUCGGAAUUACUGGGCGUAAAGUGUGCGCAGGCGGCAAAGCAAGUCGAGUGUGAAAGCCCCGGGCUUAACUUGGGAAUUGCGCUCGAAACUACUUUGCUGGAGUGUGGCAGAGGAAGGUGGAAUUCCACGUGUAGCGGUGAAAUGACGUAGAGAUGUGGAGGAACACCAAUGGCGAAGGCAGCCUUCUCGGGCCAACA
rnacentral:rRNA from 1 species